rnacentral:lncRNA from 1 species
CCCAAUUAGGGUGGAUAGUUUAGUCAAAUUUGUAUACUUCUACGCGUGUAAGAGGAGGAUUGGAUAGUGGAAGUCUCUUAAGUGGCCUUCUAAAGCAGAGGAUGUAAUAUAGUUAUGCGUUCUUGUUAUAUUUAUUUGUCAUUUGUGCCUCUACAAUCUCCCAAAUAUGUAUAAUUCUUGUUCUUCUUCUUUUGUUUUUGGGUGCUUUAUUGUUGUAGUCUUCAAUGAUGUAAUAUAGUUAUGCCUUCUUGUUAUAUUUAUUUGUUAUUGGUGCCUCUACAAUCUCCCAAAUAUGUAUAAUUCUUGAUAUUCUUCUUUUGUUUUUAGGUGCUUUGUUGUUGUAAUCUUCAAUGAUGUAAUAUAGUUAUGCCUUCUUGUUAUAUUUAUUUGUUAUUGGUGCCUCUACAAUCUCCCAAAUAUGUAUAAUUCUUGAUAUUCUUCUUUUGUUUUUAGGUGCUUUGUUGUUGUAAUCUUCAAUGAUGUAAUAUAGUUAUGCCUUCUUGUUAUAUUUAUUUGUUAUUGGUGCCUCUACAAUCUCC